rnacentral:rRNA from 1 species
CAUGCAGUCGAGGGGUAACGGGGUGCUUGCACCGCCGACGACCGGCGCACGGGUGCGUAACGCGUAUACAAUCUACCUUGUAGAGGGGAAUAGCCCAGAGAAAUUUGGAUUAAUGCCCCAUAGUAUUAUUAGAUAGCAUUAUUUGAUAAUUAAACAUUUAUGGCUACAAGAUGAGUAUGCGUUCUAUUAGUUAGUAGGUAAGGUAACGGCUUACCUAGACUUCGAUAGAUAGGGGUCCUGAGAGGGAGAUCCCCCACACUGGUACUGAGACACGGACCAGACUCCUACGGGAGGCAGCAGUGAGGAAUAUUGGACAAUGGGCGAGAGCCUGAUCCAGCCAUGCCGCGUGCAGGAAGACGGCCCUAUGGGUUGUAAACUGCUUUUAUAGAGGAAGAAACACUCCUACGUGUAGGAGCUUGACGGUACUCUACGAAUAAGGAUCGGCUAACUCCGUGCCAGCAGCCGCGGUAAUACGGAGGAUCCAAGCGUUAUCCGGAAUCAUUGGGUUUAAAGGGUCCGUAGGCGGGACAAUCAGUCAGCGGUGAAAGUCUGUGGCUCAACCAUAGAAUUGCCAUUGAUACUGUUGUUCUUGAAUACUUAUGAAGUGGUUGGAAUAUGUAGUGUAGCGGUGAAAUGCAUAGAUAUUACAUAGAACACCGAUUGCGAAGGCAGAUCACUAAUAAGUCAUUGACGCUGAUGGACGAAAGCGUGGGUAGCGAACAGGAUUAGAUACCCUGGUAGUCCACGCCGUAAACGAUGGUUACUAGCUGUUCGGUCGCAAGACUGAGUGGCUAAGCGAAAGUGAUAAGUAACCCACCUGGGGAGUACGUUCGCAAGAAUGAAACUCAAAGGAAUUGACGGGGGCCCGCACAAGCGGUGGAGCAUGUGGUUUAUUUCGAUGAUACGCGAGGAACCUUACCAGGGCUUAAAUGUAGAUUGACAGGGGUGGAAAC